rnacentral:rRNA from 1 species
GACGAACGCUGGCGGCGUGCUUAACACAUGCAAGUCGAACGGAGCGAAUGAAAGCUUGCUUUUAUAAGCUUAGUGGCAAACGGGUGAGUAACACGUAGGCAACCUGCCGACAGGAUGGGGACAACAUUCCGAAAGGAAUGCUAAUACCGAAUGAAGUCGAGGGAGGGCAUCCUCCUCCGAUGAAAGAUGGCCUCUAUAUAUAAGCUAUCACCUGUCGAUGGGCCUGCGUCUGAUUAGCUGGUAGGUGAGGUAACGGCUCACCUAGGCGACGAUCAGUAGCCGGUCUGAGAGGAUGAACGGCCACAUUGGGACUGAGACACGGCCCAGACUCCUACGGGAGGCAGCAGUGGGGAAUCUUCCGCAAUGGGCGCAAGCCUGACGGAGCAACGCCGCGUGAGUGAAGAAGGUCUUCGGAUCGUAAAGCUCUGUUGAUGGGGACGAACGUGCCUAAUGCGAAUAGUUUUAGGUAAUGAC